UACGGGGGGGGCAAGCGUUGUUCGGAAUUACUGGGCGUAAAGGGCUCGUAGGCGGCCAACUAAGUCAGACGUGAAAUCCCCCGGCUUAACCAGGGAACUGCGUCUGAUACUGGAUGGCUUGAGUUUGGGAGAGGGAUGCGGAAUUCCAGGUGUAGCGGUGAAAUGCGUAGAUAUCAGGAGGAAUACCGAUGGCGAAGGCAGGUCUCUGGGCUAACACUGACGCUCAUGCACGAAAGCGUGGGGAGCAAACAGG
rnacentral:rRNA from 1 species